AUUGAACGCUGGCGGCAUGCCUUACACAUGCAAGUCGAACGGCAGCACGGACUUCGGUCUGGUGGCGAGUGGCGAACGGGUGAGUAAUGUAUCGGAACGUACCUUUCAGUGGGGGAUAACGUAGCGAAAGUUACGCUAAUACCGCAUAUUCUGUGAGAAGGAAAGCAGGGGAUCGCAAGACCUUGCUCUGAUUGAGCGGCCGAUAUCAGAUUAGCUAGUUGGUGGGGUAAAGGCCUACCAAGGCUACGAUCUGUAGCGGGUCUGAGAGGAUGAUCCGCCACACUGGAACUGAGACACGGUCCAGACUCCUACGGGAGGCAGCAGUGGGGAAUUUUGGACAAUGGGGGCAACCCUGAUCCAGCCAUGCCGCGUGAGUGAAGAAGGCCUUCGGGUUGUAAAGCUCUUUCGGCCGGGAAGAAAUCGCAUCAGCUAAUACCUGGUGUGGAUGACGGUACCGGAAUAAGAAGCACCGGCUAACUACGUGCCAGCAGCCGCAGUAACAC
rnacentral:rRNA from 1 species